CAGAUUUAUAGGUUUUAUAUUUAUUUACAAUAAAUUUUUUGGUUGUUCAAUUCAGCUGGGUCUGA
rnacentral:tRNA from 1 species